rnacentral:rRNA from 1 species
AUUUAUGGCCAUGCCACCCUGAACACGCCCGAUCCCGUCUGAUCUCGGAAGCUAAGCGGGAUCCGGCCUGGUUAGUACUUGGAUAGGAGACCACCUAGGGAGACCAGGUGCUGUAGGCA